rnacentral:rRNA from 1 species
UACAGAGGGUGCGAGCGUUGUCCGGAAUCACUGGGCGUAAAGGGCGCGUAGGUGGUGGCUUAAGCGUGCGGUGAAAGCUCGGGGCUCAACCCCGAGUCGGCCGUGCGAACUGGGCUCACUGGAGCAUAGUAGAGGCAGGUGGAAUUCCGGGUGUAGCGGUGGAAUGCGUAGAGAUGUGGAGGAACACCGAUGGCGAAGGCAGCCCCCUGGGCUAACACUGACGCUCAGGCACGAAAGCGUGGGGAGCAAACAGG